rnacentral:rRNA from 1 species
UGUCUUUUUGUAUUAAUAUAAAGUCUAAUCUGCCCACUGAUUUAAUAUUAAAGGGCUGCAGUAUAUUGACUGUACAAAGGUAGCAUAAUCAUUAGUCAUUUAAUUGAUGACUUGUAUGAAAGAUUGGAUGAAAUAUAAACUGUCUCUUAGUUAUAUUUAGAAUUUAAUUUUUUAAUUAAAAAGUUAAAAUGCAUUAAAAAGACGAGAAGACCCUAUAGAGUUUUAUAAUUAAAUUAAUUGAGAUUAUUUAUAAAAUAAAAAUUAAAAUUAAUUUAUUUAUUUUGUUGGGGUGACAGAAAAAUAUAAAAAACUUUUUAUAUAAUAAAACAUUAAUAAGUGGUUAAAUGAUCCAAUAUUAUUGAUUAUAAGAAAAAAUUACCUUAGGGAUAACAGCGUAAUUUUUUUUUUUAGUUCACAUAAAAAAAAAAGUUUGCGACCUCGAUGUUGGAUUAAGAUAAAAUUUAAAUGUAGAAG